GGGGUUGUGGCUCAGUGGUAGAGCACUCACCUAGCAUGUGUGAGGCCCUGGCUUCAAUCCUCAGCACCA
rnacentral:tRNA from 1 species